UGGGGAAUAUUGGGCAAUGGGGGAAACCCUGACCCAGCAACGCCGCGUGAAGGAAGAAGGCUUUCGGGUUGUAAACUUCUUUGACGAGGGACGAAAAAAAUGACGGUACCUCGAAAACAAGCCACGGCUAACUACGUGCCAGCAGCCGCGGUAAUACGUAGGUGGCAAGCGUUGUCCGGAUUUACUGGGUGUAAAGGGCGCGUAGGCGGGAUUGCAAGUCAGGUGUGAAAUCUGGGGGCUUAACCCUCAAACUGCAUUUGAAACUGUGAUUCUUGAGUGAUGGAGAGGCAGGCGGAAUUCCUAGUGUAGCGGUGAAAUGCGUAGAUAUUAGGAGGAACACCAGUGGCGAAGGCGGCCUGCUGGACAUUAACUGACGCUGAUGCGCGAAAGCGUGGGGAGCAAACAGG
rnacentral:rRNA from 2 species